GAAGUGUUAGUAAAAUAUUACACCCCCUUGUCAAGGUGGAAUUGCUGGUUAAACCCCGGCACACCUCA
rnacentral:tRNA from 1 species